AUUCCUAUGUUUGCACAGCCUACAGAGACUCACUCAACUCUGAUCCCAACUAGAUCCAAAGCAGCCCUCAGCCACGCAGAUGACCAGAAAACUUCUGUUGCCCGGGAGACUACUUGGUAUUUCUGUUGCUCCGGUGAUCGAAGCCUGCCCUGGGUUCUAGAGCACAUCCUUCAUUUGGCCCCGGACCUCUCCUACCCUUUACUGCCCUUCGUCAACUCGGGCCAGAGUCCCUUUGCUGCAGGUGCCCAAGUCUCCCCAAACAAACAUAACACAACAAGGUCUCUCACUUACCACCUACAGUCUGGCUCAGCAGCAAAACCAUUCCCUAGGUCAGGAUCAAUACUUCCCCCUCAAACCCAGCUAAAGAUCCUGACCUAUGGACUUGGAACCACCAGGCCUAAGCCCAGAGAUGGAAGCAGAUAAGACCUCAGAAGGCCCUCCGGCCACUCAGGAUGCAAAGAAACACCCUUCUUUAACAGUCCCCCAUGCUGAAGACUUGCCUGAGGCCACUACCCCUGAAAGUCCCCCGCACCUUUUGAGCUCACAGGAGUAUUUCCAGCCUCCAAAAGUCCACUCUAAAACAUAUCCUUCCCUCGAUCUUGGCACCAAGGACUCUGAGGACCUCCAGGAUCCUUCUGUCUCUGAAACGCCUUUAAAGUUGGAUACUGCCAAUCUUCCUUCCACACCAUCUCAAUCGUCUGCCCAGUCUGUGAUCUCCCUAGAAAGAGCCAUCUCUAAGAUCCCUUUGGAUGAUUUCAUCUAUGAGAAUUCUAUCUCUGAAGUCCAAGAAGAACCUCUUCCGCUCUCACCAACCACCGAUAUCUCUAAGUAUGAGUAUCCUAUCUCCGACGUCCAAGAAGAACCUCUUCUGCUCUCACCAACCACCAAUAUCUCUAAGUAUGAGGAUUCUAUCUCCGACGUCCAAGAAGAACCUCUUGAGGACACACCAACAGCCGAUAUCUCUGAGACUGAGUAUUCUAUCUCCGACGUCCAAGAAGAACCUCUUGAGCCCCCACCAACAGCCGAUAUCCCUGAGAGUGAGGAUUAUAUCUCCGAUGACCACGAAGAACCUCUUGAGCCCCCACCAACAGCUGAUAUCCCUGAGUCCUCCUAUGAGUUUAUCUCUGAUAAAGUCCCACAGACCCAGGUCCCUGAAUCUGAGCCCUUUCCAAAGCACUCCGUUCCAGAACCUUCCGCCCAAGCCAAGGAGGCCGCAUCUGCAGACGAAGAGGAAGCAGAGGAAGAAGAGCUGACAGGGGGCACUAGUAAGACUGCUGCGGCCGGAUCUGAGCAUCAUGCGAGGAAGAAGAAGGAGAAAAGAGCCCCUCCCUUCCCAGGUUGUGAAAGCCGCCCAGUGGUCCCUGCUAAGCGGGCAGAGCUGGUGGAAAUGGCUAAGGCAAUGCACAGAAAGCAGUUUGAUGAUCAGGUGAACGAUCUUUUCCAAUGGGAGAAGAAUUCAUCCCUGAAGGCCAUCCAGACAGGAAUCGCUUGAUUCUGAAAGUCUUGUGAGACGGCAUGGCGAGAAGCCCACUCGGACAUAGUGCACAGGAUGGCGGAGGAAAGGAGAAGGGCGUCUCUAUUAUUUUUAAAGUCUCAUUUGUUUCAGGGUUUCCACGGGUAGCGAAAUCUCUGUUUAGUUAGCAUCUAACACUGCUUCUUUCUUUGUUUUUUUGUGGUUUUUUUUUUGUUUUUGUUUUGUUUUUUGCAAAUUCAGGUUCUGUCCAGUCCCUUUUUUGCUCUUUUAGAGCCUCCUGUCCACCCCUUACUAUUUAGCAUCUCUAACUCUCUUCUUGGUUUUAAAUGUCUGUUUUCCUGCAUAAACAAAUGGUUUGUGCACUUAAUCCUACACUAAGCUGUCUGAGGUCUGUAUCCUUCUGAUGUUGAAGACCUUGGUUCAAGACUCCCUAAGACUCUAUGUGGUGUGCAGAGAGAUGUGAAAUGUGAGCUCUUCCUAAGUUCUUCUUUCAACACUUAUUAUACGCCAACCAUAUCCAAGCACUGAGUUUCGGUUGUGCAAGCAGUGGGACAAGAAAGGCCUCAAGGAUAAAACUGUCCCUCAAUCGCACAGUGAGACCCUGUCUCAAAAACAAAACCAAGAUCUCUCAGAUAAUGUGCACUCUAGUAAGCAAGGCCGAUAAGUAAAAUGGCAAUUAUAAUUUAGGCCAACAAAUUGCUAUGCUCAGGGUUCUGCAGGGACAGAGGAAAGAGGCACCUACUUUUGGUGCUAGACUAAAAAGCAUUGGAAAGAAAGACUGACAGAGUUAAUAUCUGUAAGGGGAUAAGGAACAGUCAGGCUGGGUGUGCUGCACUUGGAAGGCUGAGGCAGGAGGAUCACACCUUUGAGGAUAUCGCUGUCUGUAUGGUGAGUUCCAGGCCCAGCCUAGAUGGCAUAGCAAAAAGAGCCUAGCAGAAUAGAAAUUUAAGUAAAACGAACGGAUUUGACAAGACAAGAGAUCUUAGAGGGCUGCAGUGUUUUGCCUGGGGUAAGAAUGUUGGGGGGCUGGGGAUUUUGCUCAGUGGUAGAGCGCUUACCUAGGAAGCGCAAGGCCCUGGGUUCGGUCCCCAGCUCCGAAAAAAAGAACCAAAAAAAAAAAAAUGUUGGUGGGGUCCCUAGCUCAGCUCUGGAAAUACAGAACCGCGCAGGCGUCUUUGUGCCCACGUGAAUGAGUCACUGUCACAUCCCAAGGGCACCUGAGAAUCACCAAAAUACUUUAAAUAGGACAAUGACACGCACAUCUGUGCUUUUAAAUGGCCACUUUGGCAGCAGAAUAGACUGCAGAUGGCAAGACCGGACACAGGAAGACCACACUGAAACACCAGUGGUAAUCAAGGACCUUGCUGGGUGAAGCGGGAGAGACACAGAUAGAGAAGGAAGAGCUGAUGAUUGGAUGGCUGGAUGUGCAGAAUGAGUUGAGAAAGAUGAACUACCUGGAGUGACAUUUGGCUUAAGUGUCUGCCUGGACGAACAGGGUGCCUGAAACAGCAGGCGUGAGCACAAAGCUCGUGAGCUGAGGGCCAACAGCCUCCUCUGCCUGCCUAGUCCACUUCUGACCAGAAGUGAGUUUGGAACCAGCGAAUGGAACCCAGAGCUGGAUCCCAACUUUCCCACAUUAGGGCAUAGAAUAGAGUAAGACGGCAUUAGAAUCUGAGGGAUUCUCUCCAGCCUCUCCUCAUACUUUUCAUCUGAACGCUGGCUGGUUACUGAUUCCCACACUCGUGCUUAGACUGGCCGAGCUUUGAGCUUCGCAUGGACUCAGGCUCAUGUAGGCACACCACAAGCUAGGUUUAGCUUUCGUAGAGUUCAGAACGUCUCUGGUAGAGUCCUGGUUCUGUCCACACCCAUUGUGACCUUGCUCUCAACCAAACAUUCCGGGUAGAGCAGGGACCUGGCACUGCAGACAGACUGCAUCAAUCCAGAAGCGGCCAAGCCAAAAGACACACCUGAGCAGGUUUUAGACCCUUAGGAAUUAUGGGUCUGGCCAACUUGCAACCUCCCUCCGGGGUCCUUCACUAGCCAUCCUCCUCAUGAGCCAAUUCCCACCACCUGCUGCCCCCUUGGCCAGUUAGCUUAUCUCUUGUUCACCGUCGACACUUCAGAAAGGUUGGACUCUGGCAUGGAGAGGGGAGGAGGUAUCUACAUUGGCUGGCGCUGCCCACAUUAUUUAUGGGACUGUUUCCGGAUAGGAGAUGAGUCUAAGUGCUUUUGUGGACAUUUGUUGAAAGAACACCAGAUCAUCUCAG